rnacentral:tRNA from 1 species
GAGGAUAUAGCUCAGUUGGUAGAAUGCUUGCCUUGCAUGCACAAGGCCCUGGGUUCAAUCCCAGUACCACCA